GCUGGAAGCAGGGAGGGAGGUGGGCUGGAGUCAAUGCCUAACACUGCUGCAGCAGAGUGACAGGUCAGUGUCAGUGGGCCCCCGAUCUGUGGCUUUUCACACCAGGAGAGGGACAGUAAGCUGCCCUUGUGACGCCGGCCCAACACCAGAAGAAAAUUAAGAAGUAGAUGUGCUUCUGAGCAUCCUCCUUUCCCUGGAGGACACUUGGAAGUUCCUUGGUCUGUGCUGUGCUGGGGUAAGCAGGGUGAGCAGAAAGGGUCUCAUCUCUCCUCACUGUGUCCCGGGGGCAGGGACGGCCUGACCAGGGCGUCUCACAGGUGCGCUGUGGUGCUGUGGAACAGCUCAGCUACCUGCCAACCUUGAAGAGCCACAUUGGCUAAACCUGGAAGAAAAUACAAGUAAAGGAAAAUAGAAGACUUCACGUUCCCAUGCCACGAGUCCUUUGAGAGCUGGACUUUGUGGUCCCUCUGGUUGAAUCUUUUAGUUGACACAGAGCAGACAUCUGUGGGAGCGGGCCUGGCAGGGCCCUCAUCUGCCACCUCCUUGACCUUGGACUUCCGGCCUCCAGAACCAUGAGAAAAUCAGUGUCUGCUGAUGAAAGGGCACACUGCAUGCCAUUCUGGUGUAGUGAAGUGGAUGGAUUAAGAUGGUCACUACCAACAAGUGGGAACACGUCCGAACUUUUACCAAUGUAGUCCACACAGCGUGCCUUUGCUCUGGCCAGCGGGCUACUCUCAAUUGUUCCAGAGCCAUUUCACUCUUGGUCAUCUGGAAGGCUGAUAUCACACUCCUGAGUUCCCGUCCAUCUCCUCACACCUGAAGAAGAGGAGCACCAAGGGGAGGUGAGCCAGGCCCUGCAGUGGGCUGCCCAAUCACUCCUGGAGGGGACACAGGCUGCUGAUUUAGCUCUCCUGAGCCUCAGAGGCCCAGCUCUGAGUUAAAGGAUACUACUUCCUUUGCAGCCCGAUUGAGGUCAAAGGAGCCUGUGUGCUAAAGGGCAGGACAGCUCUUCUGUGGCUUGGUAAUGCUCCAGGGUGGGCACCGGCAGACACCUGGUGCCCAGUGGUUUCCGCUGUGUGCACACUGGGGCUUCCCAUCUGCAGGCAGAAGUACUCAGUCACCGCUCCUUUCCUCUGUGCCAGAGGAGCCAGUCUGAACGCCCUCAGGACCCAGUCGGCUCUCUGUGAUUCCGAGGUGCUUGGUGCACUGCUGUGCUGCGGCUCCUGCAGGCUGAGGCCAUCCGUCUCCAGAGCACUGAGCGAGAGUGAGCAGCCUCAGCUUCUCAGCCAGGGCCCGGCAAGACUGGCCCUUGAUUGACAGGUGUGAGCUCCCCGUGGCCACCUGACAUGAAUAGGGACACGAGUGCUUACAAGUCAUCAGCUGUGCAGUGAUACCCCCACUCCACUUCCUCCCCCCACAAGGCUGGCAGGAGUUUUGAAGAUGUGAAUGCCAGAUGCCUUGGUGAAGGCUAAAAGUGCCUUGCACACUCACCUGUGUCCCUCAGAAGCAUGUUUCUUCCUGUGUCCUUUCUGAUAGGCACUCUGAUCAUAGACUGAAGUCAUUUGUCUCUUCCUCCGCUCUUUAAACCCCAAGUAAGCAAUCAUGCAAUGUGUAAAACACUCCAAUAACACCAUGGGAUGUGUUUGCCUUCCUCAGUGGUGCAUUAGUAAGAGCAGACACAAGUAAACAGAGAGCGGAGGAGACAGCAGCAGCAAAGGAGGUCAGGUCGUGUCUGCCUGUGCCUGUGACAUUAGCGCCACUGCUGCUGAUGGAGGCCUCCCUUGGGUGGAUCAGGCAGCAGACUCGGGGAGUCACUGAGGGAAGCUGUGGGAUUCCUCAGGGCUGGCACAGGUUAGUCCGACUGUCGCACAGUGCCUUUUUGAUAAUGGGUUGUGUUUUGCUGGAAGCCACUGACUUUAGGGUUCUCAGAAUGUGGGCUUUCAGCUGAACACUGGCAUAUGGUCCCUGUGGCCGAGCUGAAGUUUGGAGGAGGCUAAGAUGUAAGAGUGAAAAGUUAAGAGAAAUGUUUUGAGAGUAGGCUCUGCUGUUUGCAACUUGCACAGCAGUUUACUUAGUUAUUCGGGACCUGUGUCUCUGUCUAGGACACAGUGAGUGGGACAGAUUGGUAGCCACGUAGAGGAACACUUCUGAAGCCCUGAGCUCCCCAGGCAAAGUUCUUGUCUCCUCUUCCCUGCUUCACCCAGUCAGCCAUGCAUUCCUGUGUCUACCCCCAGGCCUUCCAGCUAUAAUAAUUAUUGUUUUUAAAUAAAAUGCUAAAAUU